GCACCGCGAGAGCAGCAGAGACCACCAGAGAAGGCCGGAGAGCCCAGACAGAGUGAAGACUUGCUGGGGGCUGGGAGGCCUGUCAGCCUCCUCCCGGCCCCCCAGCACCUCUGCCUGCCGUGUGCCCGAUCUUUCGUGCUAGACCAGAUGAUGUGAACAGGACCAGAAGCUUUGGAAUUGGAAAUAAAGAAUCAGCAGCAGACAACUACAACACUGAAGAGACUUCUGGCUGGCCUGCGUUAGAGCAAAUAUGUCUAAUCUACAGAUCUGAAGGGCAGCCUCAGAAGGCACAUGUCUUCAUCUGCUCAGGUUGCCAUAACAACGUACCAGAGACUAGGGACAAGCAGCUUUGAGGCUGGAAGUCCAAGAACAAGGUGUCAGCUGUUUUGCUCCCAGCUCCAGAGUAUUCUGCAAUUUCUACAAGAGAGAGUGCCUGGAGGAUGAACCCUUUUAAGUGUCAUCGUUGCCAACACUGUUUUUCAUUUGGGCACUAAAGGAGGUGCAGGAGAGGGAGGCGGAUCCAUAACGACAACGCUGUGUGUUGUACUGUGAUGGUUGCCUGGCAACUGUACCUGUAGAAAGUAAAUAGUGGACUCGCAUCUGUAUUAAUCCCUCUUCUUGUCAAGGUUUGUAGUAGUAAAUACACUAAGCUCAGAAAAUACUUAAAAGCAACAAGGUUUGCUCAUUUGAUGAUCCUUUGGAAUCGUAUGGAAACACGGUGGCAUGUCAACAAAUGAGGGUCUUUGCAGAAGUGGUACCCCAUGCUGUGAACAGAUCUUGAACAUACUCGAAUAUAUUUUA